UACGUAGGGUGCGAGCGUUGUCCGGAAUUACUGGGCGUAAAGAGCUCGUAGGCGGUUUGUCGCGUCUGCCGUGAAAGUCCGGGGCUCAACUCCGGAUCUGCGGUGGGUACGGGCAGACUAGAGUGAUGUAGGGGGAGACUGGAAUUCCUGGUGUAGCGGUGAAAUGCGCAGAUAAUCAGGAGGAACACCGGUGGCGAAGGCGGGUCUCUGG
rnacentral:rRNA from 1 species